GACAGCAGCCAUAUCGCCCUGCAGCCCAAGACUGGUUGCCCACUGAAGCUAAGCAGGGUUGAGCCUGGUCAAUACCUGGAUGGGAGACCUCCUGGGAAAACUAGGUUGCUGUUGGAA
rnacentral:rRNA from 1 species